UUGAAGCACUCUCCAAAUUCUGACUUUAUCUCAGUGUUCGGCCCAGUCAGGCAUUCGUAGGCGAGAGACAAGAGGAAGAUUCUGCAAUUUAAACACAAGUGGAGUCAGGUCAACUCCCACAGUAGCAACAAAAUGCAUAUUCAUGAGGCCACUAGUACUGCAAUUGUUUUUUGGAGAUUAGAGCGUGUUUGGGUAAAAGGGCAUAGGUUUCCAGGACAAGAAGUGAAGCAAAUAUUCCCUGUAGGUGAAACUGUGCAUGUAUCAUCACAUGAGGUCUGUAAGUGUUAGAUCUAUCUGUCUAUAUAAAAGAACUCAGAUCAUGCAGUGAUCAUGAGUGUAGAGAGAAUAAGUAAACCAUAUAAACAUUCAAAUACUGCAUGUUACAGGACUGUUACUGAACAUUGAACACCACGAGUAGUUGGUUUGUGUUGCGUGGCUUGUCACCAUAACACAUUGAUCCUCAUCAGGAGAGCUUGAAUAGUGUCCAAUCACAGUAUGUAAAGCUGUAGAAAGCCAGUCCCAUUUAUUGGCUGACAGACAUUUUUUGACAACUGUAUGGUUACACAUGGAAUACCCCUUAUUGAACACUAGAGAUAAGAUUCAUUAGAAGGUUCAAUAGAAUCCCCGUAAUCAUGCAGUCCUGAGCUGCUCUGGCUCACGUACACUGACUGACCGUGGAGCUGACAGUGAAGCAGUGAGAGUAUGUGUAUGUCUUUGUCUGAACCCCUCCUGCCCUUUGACCUCAUUCCCUCAUUGCAGGAGAGGAGGGAGUGAAGUCAGGCAAGUGAGUUGUGAAAUGUGUCUGAUCUUUGUCACAGAGAAACAUGUGUCAUAAGUGCUCAGUGAAAGUGACAAGUGGCCAAUGUCACAAGACGUCUGCGUGUUGGUUCAACAUGUGCGCACUGAAUGAUAGGUGCUUUGCACCAUAACAUAUAAUUCAGCUUGAUCGUUAGCCUUGCUAGAGCUCUAGGGGAGGUGAAGUCGGUUGGUCUGUUGUUUUAGCCACCACUUCUGAAAAACUACUGCAUGGAUUGUCAUUUUUACAGACAUUCAUGGUUCCCAGAGGAUAAAACCUACUGUCUGUGGUGAUCCUCUGACUCUUUCUCUAACGCCACCAAUAGGUCAAGAUGUUUAUUUCUCAUACAGUGAAGAGAGCCAGAAACAAAUGACCAACAUGCACAGAAACAAUAGUGAGCAUAAAAAUCAUAUGUAUGCUUUUCCAUUGCGUAUAACAAAAUAUCAAUAUGCAAAAUAUACAACUAAACAAAACAAACACACAAACAAAACAAGUUGCAGUAAGUACAUGCUUUCAAAACACAGAAGAGAAACUAAAAACACUCUCCCUCAUCACUUAUGGUGGAGGUAUUCUUUUGGUGGUAAUAGAUCAACAUUUGAACUUUUGCUCUGUAGUGAUGAAAUGUAGCUAAAUUCAAGAACAACCUUUCCCCCUGUUACUCAGUUUUGGAGCACAGACUUUCCUCAAACGUUGCUGCUAAAUUCACUACAAUUGUGCUGUCAAUAAUGUUCCUCUUUCAGCAACUCACUUUGGAUUCUGGGCAUCUGAGUUUGCCACUGCUGGGAAAAGGUUGAGACUGUUUGGAGACCUUUGCCCCAAAUUUCUGGUUUCUUCUGCUUGAAUGGACAGUCUGUCUCUGUACUGGAUCUCACCAGGUGAGUGCAGACUUUCCUGACCAAAACUGAAGAUGAACAAGUGUCUCAUCUGUACUAGAGAGACUAAAGCCCCAUUUGGACGAGAUUAACAGGAGGAAGUGAGGUGUCACCACUUUGUCCACGACAUCGUCGACGAUAGCAGAGACAUGGAUCCAUGAUUGGAGAGACAUUGUUGAGGAUGAGGGAGACAUCAUCCACGAUCAGACAACACUGUCCAUGAUUGCAGAGACCUUGUCAAAGGUGAGAGGGACGUUGUCAGAGACGUCGUCCACGAUCACAGAGACGUAGUCAAUGAUCACAGAGAGUCUUCGUACAAUGAAGAAGUUCUUUGAGGCCAGGACAGAGGACUCCAGAUGAAUUCACAGAAACAACAGGAUCCACCAAUGGUGAUGGAGGAGACGGCAUCACCUGAAGAGGACAACAGAAGUUACUUGACUUUAACAAGCAUAUCCACAUGUGUGCUCAUGUGUGCUAUAUCAAAGUGUCUCCAAGUGGUCAAACAUCUGUCAUUAUCUUUGCUAUUGUUCAUUAAAUAUUGUCAAGAACAGAGUCAAUAAAGUUUUGUAGCCUA